rnacentral:rRNA from 1 species
UGGGGAAUAUUGGACAAUGGGCGAAAGCCUGAUCCAGCCAUGCCGCGUGAGUGAUGAAGGCCUUAGGGUUGUAAAGCUCUUUUGUCCGGGAAGAUAAUGACUGUACCGGAAGAAUAAGCCCCGGCUAACUUCGUG